UACGUAGGGUGCAAGCGUUGUCCGGAAUUAUUGGGCGUAAAGAGCUCGUAGGCGGUUUGUUGCGUCGGCUGUGAAAUCCCGAGGCUCAACCUCGGGUCUGCAGUCGAUACGAGCAAACUAGAGUGUUGCAGGGGAGACUGGAAUUCCUGGUGUAGCGGUGAAAUGCGCAGAUAUCAGGAGGAACACCGGUGGCGAAGGCGGGUCUCUGGGCAACAACUGACGCUGAGGAGUGAAAGCGUGGGGAGCGAACAGG
rnacentral:rRNA from 1 species